UGGUUAAAGUGCUCAGUAAGCUGGGGACACAUGGUUCAAUGGGGGCAUUGCCAAGUAUGCGAGAGGCCCAGUGUCACAAAACCAGUAAACUCGAACAGAAAUAGACUGUAAUAACCUCCUCAAGGUCUCCCAGAAGGAGGCUGGUUUGCUACAGUCCGAUCGUCUGAGCACCGCAAAGGAAGAGCGGAUCCCAAAGGUUGGGAAAGCUGGGCCUUUAAUUCUAGAGAGUCGGCGUCCAAACUUCCAGCUCAAGGAUGGAGACGGUGAGCACUGCGAAGCUUGAUUCAUGCGGUUUUCAGACGAAUCAGGUGAUCGGUGAGUAAUGGUCUGGCGGUGUUUCUCAGUGGUCAGAGCAGGUGCAUAGUGUGCACAGAGCUGAGUUCAAUCUUAGCACCAAACAAACGCAAAAGCUACAAAUUUUACUCAGGACUCGGCAUCUGACUUUCUUCUCUUUUUUAACUUGUAUUUAUUUAUUCUUUUAACUUUAUGUGCAUUGAUGUUUUGCCUGCUUGUGUAUCUGUGUCAGGGUGUCAGGUCCCCUUGAACUGGGGUUAAAGAUGGAUGUGAGCUGCUGUGUAAGUGCUGGGAAUUGAACCUGGGGUCUCUGGAAGAACAGCCAGUGCUCUUGACCACUGAGCCAUCUCUCCAGCCAUAGCAUCCGACUUUUUAUUUGUUUUUUUUGUUUGUUUGUUUGUUUGGUUGGUUUUGGUUUUUUUUUUGUUUUUGUUUUUUGUUUGUUUGUUUGUUUGUUUCAGAGCUGAGGACCAAACUCAGGGCCUUGUGCUUGCUAGGCAAGCGCUCUACCACUGAGCUAAAUCCCCAACCCCAGCAUCCGACUUUUUAAGGAACUGUUACCAGAACAAAAAACUAUUUGGACAGAGAGCUGCCUUCCCAAUCUGACUUGGUUAUCAGCCUUAGGCCUUCUGAUUUUCACAUUUUAUUAUUUUUUUUUCUUACACUGGGGACUGAAUCCAGGACGUCUUAUAUACUAGGUAAGUGUUCCACCACUGAGCUAUAUACCCUGAACUCUUCCUUUUAUUCUGAGGCAGAUUUUCAAUAAGUUGCCCAGGCUUGCCUAAACCCUCCCUUCUUUUCUUUCUUUUUUCUUUUUUCUUCCUUCCUUCCUUCCUUCCUCUCUUUCUCUCUUUCUCUCUUCCUUCCUUCCUUCCUUCCUUCUUCUCUUUCUCUCUUUCUCUCUUUCUCUCUCUCUCUCUUUCUUUCUUUCUUUCUUUCUUUCUUUCUUCCUUCCUUCCUUCCUCUCUUUCUCUCUUUCUCUUUCUCUCUCUCUUUCUUUCUUUCUUUCUUCCUUCCUUCCUCUUUCUCUCUUUCUCUCUUUCUUCCUUCCUUCCUCUCUUUCUCUCUUUCUUUCUUCCUUCCUUCCUUCCUUCCUCUCUUUCUCUCUUUCUCUUCCUCUCUUUCUCUCUUUCUCUCUUUCUCUCUUUCUUCCUUCCUUCCUUCCUUCCUUCCUUUCUGGGGAGAUAAGGGAGUGUUGAGACAGAGUUUCUCUGUGUAGCCCUGGCUGACUUGGAACUCACUCUGUAGACGAGACUGGCCUCAAACUCACAGAGACCCGCCUGCCUCUGCUUCCCAAGUGCUGGGAUCAGAGGUGUCACCACCUCUGCCCAGCUAGUCUUGAACUUUCAAACAGCCUUCCAACAUCUGGGACUACAGGUAGUCCUUGUUGCUUUAUUCUCUCUCUCUCUCUCUCUCUCUCUCUCUCUCUCUCUCUCUCUCCCUCUCUCUCUCUCUCUCUCUCUCUCCCUCCUUCCUUCCCUCCCUCCCUGCCUCCUUCCCUCCCUCUCUCCCUCCCCCAAAUAUUUAUUUUAAGUUAUGUGUAUGCAUGUAUUGUGUAGUGGGGGUAUGUGGACAUGCAGUCAAGUGCCCACAGGGUCCAGGAGAGAGUGUCACAUUCUCCUGUGACUGGAGUUACAGGAGCUGCGAACUGCAGCAUGAGUGUGGUGGGAACAGAACUCUGGUCCUCUGCGAGAGCAGCGAGCCAUCUCACCUCUGAGCCCUCUCUAGCCCUCUAUUGUCUCUUUCUUGUGAUGUUAGAUUCCUCUCACAAACUUUUUUUUUUUUUAAACUUUUCACCAAAUUGACCUGUUGAAGAGCCCUGGUCAGUGACCUAUGGCAGGCCCAGCAUUUUGGACUGUCCGAUUUCUCAUGAUGUCAUUUACUCGCUUCUCUGUGACUUGCACUCCAGUCCCUCUUCACUUAGUGUGGCCACAGGAUUUCGGCCUGCCUGACAUGAGCCCCAGCAGCUGACCACUGGGCUCCUGUCCUUUCUGCCUCAGUUCUGUCUUAGAGUUCCCUUGAUGUCAGUAGGUCAUGAGUCCUAAGAAGAUGCCUCCUGCUUCCCGCCUGUCUAGAGAUCAGAGUCAGGGAAGGCUUGGGGUUUCCACAUCCAACACGUGAGCAUCCUUCAGUGCCCUCUGGCUCUUAGACCACAGGCCCCCCUGCUCUCUGCAGGUAAGCAAGCCUUUUUGUCUUUGGCUAGGGCAGAAGAGGGCUGGAAUCCUGGAGGUCAAAUAGCUUUCUGUUUUGUUUUGUUUUCUGAUUUGUUUUUUCAAGGCGGGGGUCUCUCCGUGUAGUCCUGCCUGACCUGGAACUCACUUUGUAGACCAUGCUGGUCUUGAACUCACAGAGAGCCGCCUGCCUCUGCCUCUGCUGGGAUUAAAGGUAAGAACCACAACACCUGAUUUCUAGCUUGCUUUCUUUAGAUAGGGUCUUACUAUAUAUCCCUGGCUGGCCUCGAACUCCCCAUGUAGACCAGGGUGGCCUUGAACUCACGGAGAUCUGUCUGCCUCUACCUCUGUCUCCCGAGUGCUGGAAUUAAAGCUUCUUGAUUAACACUUAGGGUUGAACCUGUGGUUGUGGGUUCCCGGCCUUUGAUGCCUGGGAACGAAGUUGUUUGUGUUCUCCCAGCGUGUUCUCAGAACUGCCUGGAUGGCUGUGGCUUUACAAUCUGCUUCCCACUUCUGGCUGUUGCUGCUUGUUGUCUCUGUAUUCUUGGUCCUGGUGGGCUAGUUUUCUCUGCAAAUCUCUUUCCUGGUGCUUAGCCAAGAGUAGAGAGAGCAGGCUAAAUUCAUGGCGGCUAAUCCACCAGCUCUAUCCACCAGUGGAUUUAGAAAAAUGCUUUGAAUGGCCAGGUGAGUUUUUCAGUGAGAAAGGUUUGCUUCAGAGGCAACAUCGCCCCUAGGCAUUUGGAUAAACCUUGAAGUCCGGUUGCUCAGCGGGAUGCUGGGAGAAUUUAGAAUUACAGAGAAAGGCGAGUAGUCUGAGACCAGAGAGGAAGGGAAGAUGGAAAGGUAGCGCAGAUGUGAAAGAACCCAGGGACAAGUUGGAGCCACACUCAGGCUGUAACUUAGGGCAGGAGGAGAGCUUUGCGCUGGUAGGAACUCCCUGGUGUGUGUGUGUGUGUGGGGGGGGGGAGUGCUGGUUGAGGAGCUUGGGAGAACAGCUCUGCCGUCCAUCUUAGGCCGGCUGUUGGACUGGCAUUAGCGAAGGGUCUGCUGCCUUCCUGUGUCUACAUUUUCUUUCUCUUUGAGUUGAGCAUCCGUGUUUGGGGGGAAAGAGCCCAUUUCCUUUGCAGUAAAUUAUGGCCACACAAUUCUGUUCUUGCCGAUAGGACAUAGCGUAAGUAUGUCUGGGUCUUAGACGAUAAAUUUGAGCAUAAAUGUCACAUCGGAAUCCCAGAAAGGCCAAUUAAAGGGAUUUCCUCAGUUGUCGUACCUUUAAACCCCAUCUGCCUGCAGACUGAAAUUUAGAUGAAAUGGCUAGACUUGUAGGAGUUAUUGUGCCUUGUGAAGUAUUCUUUCUAUUUUCCAUGUAUUUAUCUACUUAUUGGGGGUGGGGGGUCUGUACCCUGGCACACAUGUGGAGAUAAAAGACUCCUUCCACCAUGGGGUGGUCAGGCUUGGUGGCAGGCACCUUUACUCACUCUCCAUCUCGGGGGUCAGUGUUGUUUUGAGGUGUUCUUGAAGAAAGAAUUGGAAUCCAGGCUAAAUAAUGUUAUGUGGCUACCAGUACCACAGGUCCGGUCUGCCUGUCUCUGGCAUUUUUCUUUAAUGUUACAGAUACAUGAAAUUCUCUUUGCUUUCUGUUUUAUUAUAGUAAUCACUCAUGAGCCAAGUGCCUCGGAAGCUCUCAGAUUGCAUAUUAGCGUGUCUAAUCCUCCCCACCGCCAGCCGUGAGAGGUAAGUACUGUUCUACCUCUGUUUUUCGGGUGAGGAACUCGGGAGGCUUAAAGAGGUUAACCAGCUUGGCUAUCGAACGACCUGGCUUUAGCAGUGAUCAUCUGGCCUUGAAACAAACACACCGUGCCUCUGUAGUCACAGAAAUGUCACCAGCCAAGCCCAUUCUGACUGACACCUUCCCUGCCUGCCGCCCCCACAUCUUGGAUUAUAGAAUCAGAGUGCUAGCACACCGAGCAUGCCCAAGAAAUGAAGGAAGAAGUCUCCGGAGUUCCGGGUUGUAACCAGCACAGAUAUCAAUAAAGGCCCCCGGGAGAGGCAGAGGAUUAGAAAAGGUCAGGUGCCCUGGAGGUCUGAAGUGUAGAUUAGGAACAGGUAAGAGGGGCUGAGGUGUGGAGCUCAGUUGCUUAGGAUGUGCGAAGCCCUGGCGUCAGUCCCCAGCAACACACAGAGUACAGGAGGAGCAAAAGUUCAGGGUCAUCCUCAGCAUAGCAACGUUGAGAUGGCUGGGCCUUGCUAGCUACCUGUCUCAAGACAUGGUUCCCUCUCUCCCACGAUCCUCUAUGCAGUCUCUGGUUUGCAUUUGUCGAGCAUUCUCAGUGUUUAGCAACAUCCUAAGUAAGGUGUGGUCAUCUGUACAGCCUGGCGUCUCUUGAGCUGAGCUGAUGUAAGGAUUCAUUAGGAAAUCUGAGAUGUUGUACCCAUUAGGAUGAGAGAGCCCUGUAAAUUCUACUGCGCGCUGGAGAACCAGGACCAAAUUCUUAGCAUUUGGCACCGAAAACUCAUCUUUGCUCAUUGGAUUAAUCAAAGAGAUAGGAAGGGUUGAAAAGAGAGGGAGCGUGUGCUAGGCACAGGGCUCUUGAUUAACGAGGGGGCCCAGAAGAACAGCUUUCUCAGGGGGCGGCGGGGAGCGGAGCGAUCCUGCUCCUGUUGCUACCUUAGCUCGUAAGUUUCCAUCCUUGGUCCCCAGCUGAUUGUAAAUAAAGCCGAUUUUAAGGGUUCUGCUGCAAGCUAGACUCGCUGGAGUCCAGAGUUUGAGGUCACACUAAUGAGCGUGAGUUAUGGGUGCUAUCAGGUGAUUCCGUUUUGCCCUGGAUCCUGAGGCAGCUCUCUCUGGCUUGUCCCUUGGUUCUGAACUGCCUGCUGUCUGUGGGGAUGUAGGAGAGGGCAUGGCUUGCCUGGAGAAAACCGGUCUCUCAGGAUGUUCCAUCUCUUCGUUCUUAAUAAAGUCACAAUAAUAAUGAGGCAAACGGGUCCCGUAUUUGGAAUGCAAAUUGGGCCUGCAAAACCACAUCCUGGCAGAACAGCCAGAAGAGAACAGGCCCAGCAGAGCUCGACCGAAGAGUCCUUUUCAAACAUCUCCGCGGAGAACCUAUAUUUGCCCCCAGAAUGAAGGAAACAGCUUGAGACUGAGACAGCCCUGGGGAGUUCUCAGUCAAAACGAGAUUGCCCGAGGGACACCCCGGGGGAAACCCUGAUGAAGAGUCCAAGUCUGACUCAGAGAAAAUGAGAGUAAAUGAAAUGCAAAGGAACCAUCAUGACAGGGAGACAGAUUUGGAGCGGGGAGGAUAACUCAGUCUCCAGAUGCAGGGCUGAGGGAUGCUGAAAGAGCUCACCGAGUAUUUGUUAAGUUUUUGAGUCACCUAAGAGAAAUGAGCCUUCCCAGGGAAAGAACAAAGACUUCCGCCGACCUGACAGCUGCGAGCAAGGGUAGAGCCUCCGCCGCCGCAGAGCAGAUCAAAACGGCCUCUGCAGAGGCGCGUGAUAAACAGCCCACAGUCCUUUCUUCCUGACUUUUAUUUCUUCCCAAUGAUCAUUCGUGUAUUUCACGAUUUCUCAUUCCUUCGUUCACUUCCGCCCCGAGGGACAGGGUCACGGAGCAAUCAGGGACACCUCCAGGAACAGAAUAUUAAAGGCUCCAUCCUUGUUCCAAAUCCGAGAGGGAACAUUGGGGAGCCGGGGAAAAUGAAACAAAUCACUCACCCCGACGGCUCAGAAUAGAUCAUUUCGGGGCUCUGCAGCCACAUUCACGGCUGAAUCCGGAGCUCUACGAAAGGCGCUUAAGAGAUUUUUUUCCUAAUCUACUUUUUCCUCCUUAGAGCUUUGGAAAUAUGGCUGUGUAAUUUAAUGAUUACAGGAGAUGAGCGGAAGAAUGAGCUAAACAAGAUAACAUCGGCUUGCUUUGUAAUGAGGGGCCGAAUUUUCCAAAUAUAGAGCAAAAUCCAAUUGUGGCCCUGUUGUUUAUGAAUGUUUCCUGCAUGACAUUUACAUGGGAGACACUGUUGGAACCCACAGUGUCCUUUUUCAUAUCAGGAGCCUUCUCCUUGGCUCUCUGCAGAAUUAAGGGAGGAAAAUGCAAGCCAAUUUCUGUAGAUCACCCUCUUGGCCAUGUAGACUAAUGCAUUGUGCUGCUGAAAAAACUAUAGGCUGGGAUAAAUCAGACAUCUACACAAUGAGCAAUGUCCGCUGGUUUCCAUGAGAGGCAGCAGACACCCGGAAACAUCAGGAGCUUUUCAGUGCUCCUGAUUCAAAAAGGGAUACCAAGAGAUAUAAUUCGGUGUACUGGGGUUUGGCUUUGACACAGGCAUCUUGGGUCUCUGGUCCGUGCUGAGACACAUCAGGUGAACGGGCACCGGAAACUCUUGUUUACUCCUGUAACUUUCUGUUUAUCUCAAGAUAAACAUUUGGGGAAGAAAACAGUGAAGCUUCAGAUGUUGCCCUUUGAGGAGGAAAUAGGAAUAAAAGUCCUGGGCUGAAGAGAUGGCUCAGUGGUUAAGAGCACUGACUGCUCUUCCUAGAUGUCCUGAGUUCAAAUCCCAGCAACCACAUGGUGUCUCUGGUGUGUCUGAAGACAGCUACAAUGUACUUGUAUACAUAAAAUAAUUAACAAAUCUUUGAAAAAAAAUGAAUAAAAGGAGAAUUGGUGUUGCCACAGCAAGGAAUCCAAGAACUUACCAAGACUGAUGAAGUUAUCUAAUGGUUGAGAAUGCUGUCUGUCCUCAAGUAUUGAAUGGAAAGGGAAGGUUACAGUGUAAGUAGUACAACGCUGUUUUAAACAAAUGUGCUUAGCAUAAAGAUAAACAAAGGUAUAGAGUGGGCCCUUCCAGACAUGAGACCGUUAGUUGUGUGGAUUCGAUUAUGUUCCCUCAUGAAUGCAAAGGGCCACUUGAGCCACACAAGACCCUGUCUUAAAAAAAAAAAAGUUUUUCAGCUGGGAGUGACCACACACGCGUGUAAUCCUAGCACUCAGGAGGCAGAGGCAGGAGGAUCUCAGCAUUUGAGGCCAUCCAGGUCUACAGAGCAAGUUCCAGAACAGCCAGGGUUACACAGAGAAACCCUGUCUCAAAAAACUAACCAACCCGGCUGGAGAGAUGGCUCAGUGGUUAAGAGCACUGAGUGCUCUUCCUGAGUUCAAUUCCCAGCAACCACAUGGGGGCUCACAACCAUCUGUAAUGGGGGUGUGUCUGAAGACAGCUACAGUGUACCCAUCUUAUAUAUAAAAUAAAUUUAAAAAAUUUAAAAAAAAACCUAACCAACCAAACAAUUAAUUAAUAAAAAUAUAUUAUUCAUGUUGAGUUCCCGGUGUGACUGUAUUUGAUGAUACCCCUAAGAGGUAAUGUGGGUUAAAUGGGCUCAUAGGACUGACUACCUUAUAAAGGGAAAACCAGGCUGCACCUGAUUUUGGACACACACACACACACACACACACACACACACACACACCCGCCUCCAGAUCUUCAAGAGUACAGGUUUCUGUUGUGUAAGCCAUCUGAUCUGGAACAUGGUAUUUCGCUAUAGCCAUCCACACUGUUAAAGGCAGGGGAUAUUCUUACCGUUCUUGCUUGCUUGUUUCUGUGUGGUGAAUAUGAAUUACCUUAUUACUUAAGGAACAAUAAACGUGAGCUCUUUAUCCUUUUGGCUUCACCGUGCUGACAGGGUGAGACAUAAUUCUCUGAGUCUCCUUCGAGAUCAGUGUCUGGGCAGGUGAGGUAAGGUUGCAUCGACAAUCCUUCUCCACAGAGUGAAACUCUGAUGUUUCCUGUGCCCCGGAUGUCCAGAGGUAGGCUUGUAACCCUUUACCCCAAGCCUCACGGGUAACUCGUAACUUACUCUGAACCAUGUUUGUGUUUAAAUCACAUGUCUGAAUGUGUGAGUGGUGCAGGAGCACUCAGGAAGCUGAGGCAGAAGAGUCAUGAAUUGGAGAUCAACCUGAGCUACAAAGUGAGCCCUCACCUCCAACACACAAGCCAGCAACUUCUAAAAGCAAGAAUUGCUACUGCACUUUUUGACAAAGACCUUGGGGUACUGUGAUGAUUCGUGGGCAUCGGGUAUGUCUGUCCAUCCAGAAGACGUUUAUCUGUGCCUGAAGCGUGAGAGGCAUUGAGCCAAACCCAAGGAGAGCAGCGUUGAAUACAAUAUUCAGAUCUGCUGUCGGCGAGGACGGUCCACUGGGGAGCUAGACAAGUUCACAAGCAUUAUCCACAGCACUCCGACACUGAGAAGAGGAUUCUAUCGAGAUCCCUGUGCUCUGUUUGCUUAAUAGCAGGGCUGACAGCGUGAGCGGCUCAAUGUCCUUCCCCUUUGUCCUGUGAUGUCUCCAGAAUUGGGGAGUUGAAGAUGGUGUGUAAUUUGCAAUUGUAAGACAUCUCUUUAGGAACGGCUUAUUUUCCCGGUGGCUCUGAUGUCUGUGUGAACUCUGCACGUUAACGAACUUAUGGGUCCCCCCGCCACCCCACUUUGUGAAUCUGCCUCUUGUCAAAGGCGGUUCAUCAAGCUAAGGCCUAUGGGAGUUAUUCUCUGACACCUUGGGGGCACUGUGACUUUCUUCCCCUUGGCCAACAUCUGCAGCGUCAGCUUUCUUCUUUCAGAGCUCCCUACACUACUCCCCCUUCCCCUCAGCACUCUGCAACCACCUCAGUCACCCCACAUCCUUGGUGAGGAUAAACAUUUCCCUACUGGGAUUAGAUUUUGUCUCUGCCGUUGUUUGAUGCUUCGUAAUUGGCCAACAACUCUUUGUAGGAUUGAUUUGUGAGAGCCAUGAGGUAGGUAAGCCUUGCACCAGGGAGGUGUUUGCUACUAAAUUAUUUACAAGAGAUAGCAGAGAGCUUAAGUUAUAAAAGACAACUGGCAGCCUGGCUGAUGGCCCGUGUGUCCCAGCUUCCUGUGGAGAGUGGGAGCGGCAUCUCCAAACAGGUCACUCUGUCCACCUGUACCACAGGAACCGAGCAGGAGGGAAAGGAGGCUCGGUGAAGCCCUGAGCUGCCGCUCGCGUGUCUAGAAUGGAAGCAAGCAUUUCAGUUGGAUGUUGACCCACAUGUGCUACUUUUCCAGUAUUUCCUCUGAUCAGGGUAGUAAUGGGAUCAUUAAUGACUGUUUUAAAUUUAGACAGUGUUUUCUACCUGGGCAGUUUGGAGGUUUAAUAACCAGUAAGUUGAUAGCUUUGGGAAUGUGUGCUUAAUAACUUUCAUUUUUGCAAAUGAAAGAAAGCGACCCUCGAAGAACUAGAAAAUUUCUGAACAGCCGAACAGCUGUCAAAACAGGACUGAGAUCUGGGGUAGACUCGAGUCCGGGAUGCAGCAAAGCCACAGAUCACAGCUGAUGCAAAAGACUAAAGACCAUUGCCCAUGUGAUAGACAGCUAAGUUCUGUGGUCAGUAUGGCAGAUUCUCCAGCCUUGACUCUCCCCUGAGGCUGUUUUCAGAGAGACUCUGAGGAGGGCAGUGGACCUCAGGGAUACAGUGUACUGAUCUGUGCUUGAACUCCUCCUACAUGUCAGGCCUACAAACGCCCCAGGGGGCCUUCUAUUGGCUUCUGGUCCUUCACAAGUCUUUAUUGACUUCUUACGUCAGUCAGGUUCUAGGGUAGGAAAACCAAAGAAAGCCAAACACCCACCCAUCUGUCCCUGAAGAAGGAAGAUGAAAGAUGACUCCUAAAGUCCCCUCGCCAGCCUCAAGCCUCCUCCCAGUCUUUGGUUAACUCUUGGCCAUUUCUAAUGACUUCUCUACCAUCAGGCACAAUGGCAGUGACAGACCCAGGGAAAUGGCUUUUCAUUGCCACCUUCUGGCUAAGGUGAUCUCUCUCCAGUAAAUACCACCUGAAGUAUAUAAGAUAAUGUGCAUUCAAGGCCGUUGGGGAAAAGUUAUUUACUCUUUUUAUUUUAAGUCUUUCUUAAACACUGCAGUGUAUCCCAGCACCCAGGGUGUGAAUCAUGGAAGAAACUGGAGUUGACAUCUUUGGGGUUCUGUUUCAGGCCAUUAACUUAAUAGCUCUAAUUCUUGGAAACUCUGCUAAGUAGGAGAGGACUUGCCCUGUUACAUAAGCAUAUUCAUCAGCCUGAGGAAAAAAGUGCAUAGUGUUUUCUGAGUAAUGGUCACUUAGAGGAAUUCUGUGCGUUUUCCCAUCUGAUUACUCUGGAAUAUUCUCUGGGAUCUUCGGAGAGGAGGAAUGGUAACAGUUCCACGUGGCUUCCUGAACUCCAGAAUUUGCUUUCCUCCCAAGUACGACUGGGUGUGAUCUCGGGCUGUUGCUGCUGAGAAAGAUGUCAGUGGCAGAGAGAGCCGCCAGGCAGAGUAGUCUCCUGCUACCUUCAGAGGGCUCCAUGCAUGCGCGCCAGGGGAGCCAAGUCCUCAGUGCAAAGCAAAAUAGAGGAAAAGCCCACUAUUCUUUUGCCUUGAAGGAGACUGUCUACAAUGUGUCUUGCCAACAGCCUGGCUUACCAAGGGCCUACCUCCCUCUCCCUGCCAAUUUUUACCUGGAAACUAGGCAAGGGUGCAACACUACCAAUUACUCCAAGUGCGGCGAAGACAAGCGGGCAGCUAAUUGAAUUUAAUUCACUGAGGUGGCAACCAAUUUUAUGCCAGAGCUGGUAAAUAUUUUGUACUCAGUGCUCAUCUCCUGAGAAGGCAAUGCCAAUUAAUCUUGCAAGACAGAUUGUGCAUUUGAAGGGCAGAGUGGUGCAGAGUUGGGGGGGUAGCUGGCAGGGACCCCGGGCUCGAGCUCUGGCCCUCCUUAGUGGGUUAGCCCGUUCCCCUGCGCCAGGGCCAGCCUUUGCGAUAGGUCCCACUGUCUGCAAGGCAGGCCCUGUGAUGAGACUGUAGGUACAAAUUUAGAUCUGCCCAAGUAAACAAAGAUACAGCCUUCUUCACUGUGUGACAGGCUAGUGGAAUCUUCUGGGUUAGGAGCGUGCGAUGCUUAUCUAUGGAAACACUGUGUUCCUUGACGUUCUAGAUAGAAAAGGCUCGUGGCAGUCCCUGUGAUCUGCCAGCCAGCAGUGGGCUGUGGUCCCCAGGCUUCUCUUGGAUGGAGAUCACUUACUCUCUGUGCCUUUCCGUCUGUUUCUCCCACCCAUUACUUUCACCAUUCCAGGGCUGACCCGAUAACAUCCCGGGUGCCAUGUGUCUUCUUCUUCCCGGGAAAAUAGUUCACACUUAUUCUUUCCUGGGAGCACUUAGCACAGAACUUGGCCCUCAAACACCACCAAGACGAAUGAACAGGUGAAUCUUUCCCUUGUAUUGCCCCGCUCAUUCUUCAAGUGGCCAGUUAGAUGGAGCCUUCCGGCAUCCUGCAUCCAUCCAAACUCGUUUGGGAGCAGACAUAUUGGAAGCUGGCAGGAAUCGGCU